GCCUGGGUAGCACAGUUGGUUAGUGCAGGGUGCUAAUAAUGCCAAGGUUGCAGGUUCGAACCCCCCAUGGGACU